AGAGUUAGAUCCUGGCUCAGAAUCAACGCUGGCGGCGUGCCUAAUACAUGCAAGUCGAGCGAAUCUUUGGGAGCUUGCUCCUAAAGGUUAGCGGCGGACGGGUGAGUAACACGUGGGCAACCUGCCUGUAAGACUGGGAUAACUUCGGGAAACCGGAGCUAAUACCGGAUAAUCCUUUUCCUCACAUGAGGAAGAGCUGA
rnacentral:rRNA from 1 species